GAUGAACGCUGGCGGCGUGCCUAAUACAUGCAAGUCGAGCGAACGGACGAGAAGCUUGCUUCUCUGAUGUUAGCGGCGGACGGGUGAGUAACACGUGGAUAACCUACCUAUAAGACUGGGAUAACUUCGGGAAACCGGAGCUAAUACCGGAUGAUAUUUUGAACCGCAUGGUUCAACAGUGAAAGACGGUCUUGCUGUCACUUAUAGAUGGAUCCGCGCUGCAUUAGCUAGUUGGUAAGGUAACGGCUUACCAAGGCAACGAUGCAUAGCCGACCUGAGAGGGUGAUCGGCCACACUGGAACUGAGACACGGUCCAGACUCCUACGGGAGGCAGCAGUAGGGAAUCUUCCGCAAUGGGCGAAAGCCUGACGGAGCAACGCCGCGUGAGUAAUGAAGGUCUUCGGAUCGUAAAACUCUGUUAUUAGGGAAGAACAUAUGUGUAAGUAACUGUGCACAUCUUGACGGUACCUAAUCAGAAAGCCACGGCUAACUACGUG
rnacentral:rRNA from 1 species